UGGCACAAAAUCACAGAUCCUGAGCACAGAUCCUGCUUAUGUAAAGGCUGUGAUAUAGCAACGAGUUUGAGCUGCAUCCUGACAAGACAGAACUGCUUCAGGAGCAAAACCCAAUCUUAUUCCAGUCCCUGCCUGAGAAAACGCUGUUGCUGAUGUCCAGCGCUUGAGAAGGACCCCAGAACAUGGUCUGGUGGCAGCCACCAAACUCCUCUGCAAACAGGCCCACCCAGAGUCCUUGUGGAAGAGGAGGCCGGGAUGACAGACCGGCAAAUCACAGGCAUUUAGAAGAAGUCAGAGGAACAGUGCACAGUGAAGGUCUAGCUGGCUCCCUGCUCCUGUCCCCUCUGCACUACCUGCUCGCUGAAGCCACUGCUGGAUCUCUCCUAAACAACAAAG